GAGACAGCAGUCGCCGCGGUAAUACGUAGGUGGCAAGCGUUGUCCGGAAUUAUUGGGCGUAAAGGGCUCGCAGGCGGUUUCUUAAGUCUGAUGUGAAAGCCCCCGGCUCAACCGGGGAGGGUCAUUGGAAACUGGGAAACUUGAGUGCAGAAGAGGAGAGUGGAAUUCCACGUGUAGCGGUGAAAUGCGUAGAGAUGUGGAGGAACACCAGUGGCGAAGGCGACUCUCUGGUCUGUAACUGACGCUGAGGAGCGAAAGCGUGGGGAGCGAACAGGAUUAGAUACCCGCGUAGUCCCUGUCUCUUAUAC
rnacentral:rRNA from 1 species